rnacentral:rRNA from 1 species
AUAAAGUAGCAAUACUUUGGUGGCGACCGGCGCACGGGUGAGUAACGCGUAUGCAACCCAUCUAUCAGAGGGGAAUAACCCGGCGAAAGUCGGACUAAUUCCGCAUAAAACAGGGACACCGCAUGGUGAUAUUUGUUAAAGAAAUUCGCUGAUAGAUGGGCAUGCGUUCCAUUAGGUAGUUGGUGAGGUAACGGCUCACCAAGCCGACGAUGGAUAGGGGAACUGAGAGGUUGGUCCCCCACACUGGUACUGAGACACGGACCAGACUCCUACGGGAGGCAGCAGUGAGGAAUAUUGGUCAAUGGGCGAGAGCCUGAACCAGCCAAGUCGCGUGAAGGAAGAAGGAUCUAUGGUUCGUAAACUUCUUUUGCAGGGGAAUAAAGUGCAGGACGUGUCCUGUUUUGUAUGUACCCUGAGAAUAAGGAUCGGCUAACUCCGUGCCAGCAGCCGCGGUAAUACGGAGGAUCCGAGCGUUAUCCGGAUUUAUUGGGUUUAAAGGGUGCGUAGGUGGUUUGAUAAGUCAGCGGUGAAAGUUUGCAGCUUAACUGUAAAAAUGCCGUUGAAACUGUCGGACUUGAGUGUAAAUGAGGUAGGCGGAAUGCGUGGUGUAGCGGUGAAAUGCUUAGAUAUCACGAAGAACUCCGAUUG